AUGAGAAGUACUACAAUCAGAAAUUACCUGCAAUUAAAUGUAGCUUUCCUUCCAUUAAAAAGCCAAAACUAUAAAAGGCUCUUCUAUACCAUUCUUACAUGAACUAAUUUUUAUCAAGGUUUUGUCACAUAAUCAGCACAAAAACUCUGUGAAGGAAGUCUUUUAUUUUUAUUCCAAUUUUUCAGAUGUAGAAAAUGAUCGAGUGACUUGAUUUCCAUAAUAGCAGACAGAACUCAUUAGAAGAAUUUUCCAAAAGGCCAAGACCUCUCCUAGUUAUUAACUUUGCACUGGUGAGGACCUAUUCAGCAAAUUGGAGAAUCUAAUCCGUGUUUUCUCAGUUCGUGACUGUCUAUACACAGGAGCAAACACAGGCAAUUUCAUGUCCUAAGCAUUCACACGGGGGUUUUAGCAACGGUUGUGGCAUUAAGCUGCAUUUUAAGUGGCUAUAUAAGAUGCAACAACAUCAUUACCUUGAAUUAAAGUGCAAGAGGAACACUCCACUGGGAGCGCAUCGUAUCCUACAUGAAGAAAAUAAUUCAUGAGAAAGACAGAUCUGUAUGAGAUUAAUCGGAAAGAUGCUGAAUGUUACGUGCUCAUAUGUGGAGGGAAAACCAGGUCCUGCCAUUUACAUUAGACAUUAUUACAGCGAUGCCACAAGCCAGCCCCAGAAUCUCUGCCCUUGCAGGAGGCAGGGAGUCAAAAUAAGUAUACAAAGUUAUAUUAUGUUUGUGACAAAAGAUCAGAGAAGUGAGUGAUCAUUGCCAUCUUAAGGAAUGGAAAAGGAAGAUAAAGGAAGGAACUAAAGAGUACCAGAAACUUUGGACCUCACAGAAAAACUGGCUGCUACAUCACAGAACUGGCAGGGGCAACAACAUAAACUAGUUCCACCACCAACUCUCCCUAGCACCCCGUGUUUAUUGGUGAACAUCCUGAUGGAAUGGUAUUAGUGACAUCAAAUCCAGAAAGCAAAGAAUUAUCGCUAAUUUUUUCUUUACGAUGAAUUCCAUAUAAAAGUGAGAAAUUGGUUCACUACAAAUACCCCUCAGAUAUCCCUAAUUCUAACUUGCAACAAUUAAAAG
rnacentral:lncRNA from 1 species